AUUGAACGCUGGCGGCAGGCUUAACACAUGCAAGUCGAGCGGAGUGAUGGUGCUUGCACUAUCACUUAGCGGCGGACGGGUGAGUAAUGCUUAGGAAUCUGCCAUUUAGUGGGGGACAACAUUCCGAAAGGAAUGCUAAUACCGCAUACGUCCUACGGGAGAAAGCAGGGGAUCUUCGGACCUUGCGCUAAAUGAUGAGCCUAAGUCGGAUUAGCUAGUUGGGGGGGUAAAGGCCUACCAAGGCGACGAUCUGUAGCGGGUCUGAGAGGAUGAGCCGCCACACUGGGACGGAGACACGGCCCAGACUCCUACGGGAGGCAGCAGUGGGGAAUAUUGGACAAUGGGCGGAAGCCUGAUCCAGCCAUGCCGCGUGUGUGAAGAAGGCCUUUUGGUUGUAAAGCACUUUAAGCGAGGAGGAGGCUACUAGUACUAAUACUACUGGAUAGUGGACGUUACUCGCAGAAUAAGCACCGGCUAACUCUGUGCCAGCCGCCGCAGUAAUAC
rnacentral:rRNA from 1 species